rnacentral:rRNA from 1 species
AACGGGGAGCAGCCCAGAGCCUGAAUCAGUGUGUGUGUUAGUGGAAGCGUCUGGAAAGGCGUGCGAUACAGGGUGACAGCCCCGUACACAAAAAUGCACAUACUGUGAGCUCGAUGAGUAGGGCGGGACACGUGGUAUCCUGUCUGAAUAUGGGGGGACCAUCCUCCAAGGCUAAAUACUCCUGACUGACCGAUAGUGAACCAGUACCGUGAGGGAAAGGCGAAAAGAACCCCGGCGAGGGGAGUGAAAAAGAACCUGAAACCGUGUACGUACAAGCAGUGGGAGCACGCUUAGGCGUGUGACUGCGUACCUUUUGUAUAAUGGGUCAGCGACUUAUAUUCUGUAGCAAGGUUAACCGAAUAGGGGAGCCGAAGGGAAACCGAGUCUUAACUGGGCGUUAAGUUGCAGGGUAUAGACCCGAAACCCGGUGAUCUAGCCAUGGGCAGGUUGAAGGUUGGGUAACACUAACUGGAGGACCGAACCGACUAAUGUUGAAAAAUUAGCGGAUGACUUGUGGCUGGGGGUGAAAGGCCAAUCAAACCGGGAGAUAGCUGGUUCUCCCCGAAAGCUAUUUAGGUAGCGCCUCGUGAAUUCAUCUCCGGGGGUAGAGCACUGUUUCGGCAAGGGGGUCAUCCCGACUUACCAACCCGAUGCAAACUGCGAAUACCGGAGAAUGUUAUCACGGGAGACACACGGCGGGUGCUAACGUCCGUCGUGAAGAGGGAAACAACCCAGACCGCCAGCUAAGGUCCCAAAGUCAUGGUUAAGUGGGAAACGAUGUGGGAAGGCCCAGACAGCCAGGAUGUUGGCUUAGAAGCAGCCAUCAUUUAAAGAAAGCGUAAUAGCUCACUGGUCGAGUCGGCCUGCGCGGAAGAUGUAACGGGGCUAAACCAUGCACCGAAGCUGCGGCAGCGACGCUUAUGCGUUGUUGGGUAGGGGAGCGUUCUGUAAGCCUGCGAAGGUGUGCUGUGAGGCAUGCUGGAGGUAUCAGAAGUGCGAAUGCUGACAUAAGUAACGAUAAAGCGGGUGAAAAGCCCGCUCGCCGGAAGACCAAGGGUUCCUGUCCAACGUUAAUCGGGGCAGGGUGAGUCGACCCCUAAGGCGAGGCCGAAAGGCGUAGUCGAUGGGAAACAGGUUAAUAUUCCUGUACUUGGUGUUACUGCGAAGGGGGGACGGAGAAGGCUAUGUUGGCCGGGCGACGGUUGUCCCGGUUUAAGCGUGUAGGCUGGUUUUCCAGGCAAAUCCGGAAAAUCAAGGCUG